rnacentral:rRNA from 1 species
UACGGAGGGUGCAAGCGUUAUCCGGAUUCACUGGGUUUAAAGGGUGCGUAGGCGGGCAGGUAAGUCAGUGGUGAAAUCCUGGAGCUCAACUCCAGAACUGCCAUUGAUACUAUCUGUCUUGAAUAUUGUGGAGGUAAGCGGAAUAUGUCAUGUAGCGGUGAAAUGCUUAGAUAUGACAUAGAACACCCAUUGCGAAGGCAGCUUACUACGCAUAUAUUGACGCUGAGGCACGAAAGCGUGGGGAUCAAACAGGAUUAGAUACCCUGGUAGUCCACGCCCUAAACGAUGGAUACUCGACAUACGCGAUACACUGUGUGUGUCUGAGCGAAAGCAUUAAGUAUCCCACCUGGGAAGUACGUUCGCAAGAAUGAAACUCAAAGGAAUUGGCGGGGGUCCGCACAAGCGGUGGAGUAUGUGGUUUAAUUCGAUGAUACGCGAGGAACCUUACCUGGGCUAGAAUGCUGGGAGACCGCUAGUGAAAGCUAGUUUUGUAGCAAUACACUGCCAGUAAGGUGCUGCAUGGCCGUCGUCAGCUCGUGCCGUGAGGUGUUGGGUUAAGUCCCGCAACGAGCGCAACCCCUAUCUUUAGUUGCCAACAGGUGAUGCUGGGAACUCUAAAGAAACUGCCGCCGUAAGGUGUGAGGAAGGAGGGGAUGAUGUCAGGUCAUCAUGGCCUUUAUGCCCAGGGCUACACACGUACUACAAUGGGGAAGACAAAGGGCUGCAACAUAGCGAUAUGAAGCCAAUCCCAAAAACUUCCUCUCAGUUCAGAUUGCAGGCUGCAACUCGCCUGCAUGAAGCUGGAAUCGCUAGUAAUCGUAUAUCAGCAAUGAUACGGUGAAUACGUUCCCGGACCU